rnacentral:tRNA from 1 species
GGUAGGGUGGCCGAGCGGUCAAAGGCAACAGACUGUAAAUCUGUCGGCGGAAGUCUACGUUGGUUCGAACCCAACUCCUACCACCA